rnacentral:lncRNA from 1 species
GAGUCCUUCGCUGUGUCUAGGAAUUGUCCACUCUGAGCGGGGCCCUGCUCCAGGGUCUUCUAGGCCCAAAUGUCCAAACACCAAAUACAGAAACUGGGACAUGUGGUUAUUACAUGCUGACAAUCAGGAAAUCCUCUCCCCUGGGUUGCUUGGAGAGGGGGUGUGACUGGGAACCUUCAUGACCUGUCCUGUCAAGACUUGUCAAGAUCACGUGGGCCCAUGAUGCCACCCUUCUUCAUGCCAAUCUUUGCCACAUUUUAUUAUUUUGCUCAUUCAUUCAGUCAUUCAACAACACUUGCUCAGCGCCUGCUGUGAGCCGGGCUUUGUCUGGCCCUGGCAGCCUGGUCAGAGACAGCCCAUGAGUCCAGUGGAAGCCCUGUCUGUGUGGCCAGUGCUCUAGGAAAGACCUGAGGACAGUCUCUUCAGAGGCUUCUCGUCCUGCCCUGGACUCCUGGCAGGUAGGAAGGUCCCUUGACGUCAAGUUGAGUGACGGCUGUGGAGGCAGUCUCAUUUCUCGUAGUGGAAGAUGCACCGUUAACCAGAGAGGGGCCUUCCUCAGUCUCCGAGCUUUGUGUUUUCCGUGACUUUCAAAGGCAACUCACAGAUGGGCACUUUCAUAACAGGGGUCUCAGAGCCAAGUCGGCGACUUGAAAUAGUGUGAAGACCCCAAUGGCUGGACUCACAGGGGCCGUGUGACCCUUGCACAUGAAUUUUCAAAUGGCCUUGGAAAGUGCAGCAUGAUUUUAGGAAAGAUUUCCAAUUAACUUGGGUUCUUCAAAGCAGUUCUGUGCCUUGGAAAGAGAAUGCAUUAGAAUUUUGUGAAAGGCUUUAUAUCCUGAAACAGAAAACAUAAAUGGCAGUGGGGAAAAUAAUCAAAGUUACUGAGUCUGGAAAUCACCACUCUGGGGUGUGUGAGAACCUCAUCCACUAACUCCCUACCAUGCUGGGAGCUUCCAGAGCUGACGAGGUGGGUUCCAGAGCGUCAGACGUCUGUUUGCUCCCUGCUCAGGUGGGCGUCUGUCCUGGUCCACCUGCUGGUAGGGCGGAGACGGUGCCUGCCACCUCCCUCAGCCCCCUGGGAAACCUUGCACACAGCAGGCACUUAGUCCACUCUGGUGGGAUGGAACUAAUGAGAAAAGACCCCCCAGGAAGGUGUGGGGUCGCAAAGGGCGCUCCUGUUACCUGUUCCUCUGCUCUGAGUUGGAGGGAGAGCAGCCAGGCUUAGGCCGGGGCUCGGGCUCCUUCCCUCUGGGUGGGGAAGCGAGCGAGCUGGUAUGGAGCCCUCACCACGAGCUGGCAUUGCAGUAGGCGCCCAGUCACCCUGUGCAACGGGCAUUAUUACCCAUUUUACAGAUGGAGAGGUGGACGCACUAGAGACGGCCCUCCUGCGUGGUUUUCAUUUGAAAGGUUUCCAGGAUCCCGUCUGACCAGCCUGCCGGCCGGAGACAGCCAUCUUCACUGAGUGCUGGACUUCACUGAGCACUGAGUUGGGCAGGACACUGUCCUCAGAAAGGCUCUGAUUUGAUCAAGCAGACUAAGCAGGGGAGGCCUCCCAGCCUGACAACUCCGGGACCCGUUUAUCAGAUGGGCCAGUUGAUGCCCUGGAGAGCGUCGAGCGAGUCCCACAGGUUGAAUGAGUGGGGCAGACACAGCAGUGACCCCUCCACCCCUCCUCCACUGGCGGAGCCCAGCACCACCCAGCGUGGAGGAAAAUUCCAGCAACUCACCCUCCCGGCUUCUCUCAGGUCUCGGAGUAACCAUGUAACCCAGCUCCGGUCGAUGAGAUGUCAGGGGAGAUCUCCUAAGGGGCUUCUGGAUACGAUUUCCUCCUGAUGAAAAGAGUGACCCUCAGGGAAGGUCCUUUCUACGUUCAGUUCCUUCCUGCUUUAGAUGACGUCCUGUGACGACAGGAUACCAUCAGUCUUUGUGACCAUGAACAACCUGACACACAGCAUUCGAAGGAUGACUGAGUGGCUGAUGCAUGGAUCCUGGGUUCCAGUGAUGUCAUUAGUGGCAAGACCACAUACCUCCUGACUUCCGUUCUUGACCAGAGUAUCCACCUCAGAGGGUCAUUGAAAGAAUUACGGAGUGAGAAGGUGCAAACUGCUCAGCACGGAGCGGGGCCUACGUGGUGUCAGUAUUGUUGUUCAACUGGACACAGCUCGCAUGCAUUUCUCCCUUCUUUACGCGCCUCCCCCCAUUCAGCCCAUUUCAGGCUUCUUAUCGGCUGAUAUGUUCCAUGCAGAUGUUUCCAGUUCAAGGAAGACAGUGCGAAUUCCCUACACACGCCCACACCCUAGGCUUUGCGCAGUCUCCCUGGCAGAUUCUGAGAGUCAUCGUGGGGAACUCCCAUCUCGUUCUGUGAAGCAGCCUGACAAUCAGCCAGGCGGGUGAUGCUCCAGAACAAACCAGGAAGCCAGUGGGCCUGGGGGCGACGCUGCCCUCUGCAGAUGUCGGACUGAGAGGCACCCGUGGGGAAGGGCAGUGCUGGGCGUCCCCACGCUUGUCUGCAGAGUGCCCCUAGGCUGCUGCCGGGUCAGGAACCAGCUCCCUUUCCAGCCUUCCUGCUCCACUGGACCCGGGAGGGUCCCUCAGAAGCUCCAUGGGGUCGGACGUGGGAUGCUCAUUGGUCCUGAUGGCAAGUCCUCCUGACUGAGAGGAAAGACGAUGAGGCGACAGGCCUUCCCAAGGUUGGCCAUAAAUCAGAGCCAACGGGGGACAUGUGUCACGGAUGCCAGCCCUGGGGUCUCGGGUGCCCCACUGGACCACAGGAGACCAGCUCUCGCUCAGCUCGUCUGCUGGCAGGGACGACCAGCCUGUGGCCGUGCUUUGCCCCCGAGGGGUUGUCCUGCUGUUUAAUGAGGUUUAAGGGAGAGGCGGCCCAGCGUCUGUCUCAUCAGAGGGCAUGGAGUCUUGAGACACAGGAGCUCCUCUGGCCUUUAGGGCUCUCAGCAUCCACCCCAUUCACGCGCAGGAACAGCCGUGACUUAGGGCGCAUCUGGGGGCACAGGCGGUUUCGGGGGAAGGAAGGCCCUCUGAGUACCCUCAGGCUUCACGCUGGGCUCCUCCUGCAGGAGAGACGGAGCUGGGCGGCGCCUCCGGACAUUCUGUCGGGCAGUCCCUGGUUCGCUGUAAACCUCCGAGUUCUCAAGAUAACAGCCCAGGGAUCGGCCUGAGGAAUAACCUGCUCACAGGAAGGACAGCAGGCGGCCAAACUGGUGAAUUCCAACCCGGGGAUCUUCGUCCUGGUGCCAUGGCGCCUGGAAGUCAUGGGGAUUUUUACAGAAAACCAUGAAGCAUAUUUGCGAUCCCUCUGGCCGUGGAGUCCCAGAGAUCCCUGACCCCAACCUGCCGUUCGACUUUGAACUUGUCACUUCCCGUCUCUGUGCCUCUGUUUCCUCACCUGUAAAAGGGACGGAUACACUGGUGUGAGGACAAAGCGACAAAACCCGGUAAAUCUAACCUCAUCCAGUGCCUGCACACUGCAGAUACUUGGUCAGUGGUUGCCAAGUACCAAAAACUUAAGAAAAAUGUUCCAGAGGGGAAGCUAAAUUGAGAAGGGCCUUCCCACUGAAAUUAUUGUUAUUAUUAUUUUAAGUUGGGGAAAGACUGCCGCUGCCUGAUGAUAGUGGCUGAGCAUGCUGCCCAGAGCUCAGGAGCAGCCCAGGAGCCGUGGUGCAGGCCAGGCUCUGAACCUCUCCCGCGUGGGACACCGGACCGAGCACACAACCAGAGGACACACCGGGCUCACGAAAUCACGGGCUCAAAGCCCAGCUCCGUCUCUCAUCGCCAGGUGACCCGUCAGGUGGCUCCACCUCCCGGUCUGCACACCAGCGCUGCUGCAGGACGCGCCCACAGUGGUGCAGGUGGCGGGUCGGCGUGACUGUGCACAGAACACAGCGGGCUGAGCGAACGCAAAAUGAGAGCUCAGUCAGGAAGAAAACCAGGGUGCCCACGACAUGUGCACGAUUUCAGCCCCACUAAACACCCUCCAACUCGGGGCAAUUUAGAAAGCAACACUGCUGUAGGGGUGACCUCGAAACCGCUCAAAAUUGUUUAAAACUCAUCCACACUUACUGCUUUGGUCUUUGUGGGUAACAAACCAUUUGUCGACAGCCUCCUGACCGACACGGGCGGGAAGCCUCAGUGCGGGCGGGGAUAGACUUCUGCCCCGGCUGCUUUGGUUUCCCAUGGCCACUGUAAGAAAUGACCCUGGACUAAGUGGCUUAGAGAAUACAAAUUUAUCACCUUAUGGUUCUGGCGCUCAGAAGACCGAAAUGGGUCUCAACAGGUGAAAACCAAGGUGUCACCAGUCCGAGUCCUUCUGGAGGCUCCAGGAGAUGGUCACUCCUUACCUUUUCCAGCUUUAAAAGGCUGCCCCCCUCCUGGCCUCGUGGCUGCUUCUGUCCUCGAAGCCGGCUGAGUCCUUCUCUCCACGUGAUCUCUCUGGUUCUGACCACUCUCCCUCCCUCUGCCCCAUGUAGGUCCCUUGCGGUGUACUGGGCCCACCUGUGGUGCAGGGUCAUCUCCCUGGUUUAGGAUCAGGUGAUCAGCAACCUUAAUUCCAUUUGCAACUUUAUGUGCUUUUGCCCCCUGUCAUGCAUGUAACAUAACAUAUUCCCAGGGCCCAGGAAUUUGCAGUGGACAUCUUGGGACUGGGGCUUUGUCUUGCCUACCACAUGGGAAAACCUUGAAUCUGCUCAAAGUUAUUUAAAAUUCAUUCACACAUAUGGUUGCUUUAAUCUUUAUCAGUAACAAAUACUAUGAAUAACUUCACAACAGAUAUUGAUCAGAAAUGCCGGGCUUUUCUCCAGGCUGCAUGAGAUGUGAAAAAAUAUGGUGGUUUUCUCAUAAAAUUAAAUUUUCUCCAUUGAAGAACUGUUCUUUUGGUAUUAAAGUGGUGGUAACAGACAAC